ensembl:snRNA U6 U6 spliceosomal RNA
GUGCUCCCUUUUGCAGCACAUAUACUAAAACUACAAUUAUAUAGAGAAGACUAGCAUGGCCUCGCACAAGGAACAUGAAGCGUUCCAUAUUAAA